UACAGAGGGUGCUAGCGUUGUUCGGAAUCAUUGGGCGUAAAGGGCGUGUAGGCGGUUUGUUAAGUCAUGUGUGAAAGCCCCCGGCUCAACCGGGGAACGACGCAUGAAACUGGCAGCUAGAGUACCGAAGAGGGGGUGGAAUUCCCGGUGUAGCGGUGAAAUGCGUAGAUAUCGGGGAGGAACACCCUGUGGCGAAGGCGGCCCCUGGUCGGAUACUGACGCUGAGACGCGAAAGCGUGGGGAGCAAACAGG
rnacentral:rRNA from 1 species